CAAGGGUACCAGACUCGGACCUUGAUUUCUAUAAGCCCUUAACACCUUGUUAAGGGUUUUCUUUUUGUGGUUGUAAUGGGUAGAGAGUUCUCCUGGAUACCUCCAUCAUGUUGCACCCCAUUCAUCAAGCCCUUGGAGUCUUCAGGAGCCAAUAACUUGCAAGAAAAGAAUUUCGACUUAGCAAUAUCAGUGAACUUCCAUAAAUAGAAGGACUUGAAAUGCAACCUGAACAGGACCUUGAAUUGUAACGUUAAAUGUUGAUGUUUUAAAAGUGUUAAUUGUAAAGAAAAGUAAACCAUUUUGUUGUUUAAAAA